rnacentral:rRNA from 1 species
GCAUAUCAAUAAGCGGAGGAAAAGAAACCAACCGGGAUUGCCUCAGUAACGGCGAGUGAAGCGGCAAAAGCUCAAAUUUGAAAUCUGGCUCCUUCGGGGUCCGAGUUGUAAUUUGCAGAGGAUGCUUCGGUUGCGGCCCCCAUCUAAGUACCCUGGAACGGGUCGUCAUAGAGGGUGAGAAUCCCGUAUGGGAUGGGGUGUCCGCGUCCGUGUGAAGCUCCUUCGACGAGUCGAGUUGUUUGGGAAUGCAGCUCUAAAUGGGUGGUAAAUUUCAUCUAAAGCUAAAUACUGGCCGGAGACCGAUAGCGCACAAGUAGAGUGAUCGAAAGAUGAAAAGCACUUUGAAAAGAGAGUUAAACAGCACGUGAAAUUGUUGAAAGGGAAGCGCUUGCGAUCAGACUCGCCUACGGGGUUCAGCCGGCUUUCGGGCCGGUGUACUUCCCCGUGGGCGGGCCAGCGUCGGUUUGGGCGGCCGGUCAAAGGCCCCUGGAAUGUAGCGCCUCUCGGGGCGCCUUAUAGCCAGGGGUGCAAUGCGGCCUGCCUGGACCGAGGAACGCGCUUCGGCACGGACGCUGGCAUAAUGGUCGUAAGCGACCCGUCUUGAAACACGGACCAAGGAGUCUAACAUCUACGCGAGUGUUCGGGUGUCAAACCCGUGCGCGGAGUGAAAGCGAACGGAGGUGGGAGCCCCCUCGCGGGGCGCACCAUCGACCGAUCCUGAUGUCUUCGGAUGGAUUUGAGUAAGAGCGUAAAUGUGGGGACCCGAAAGAUGGUGAACUAUGCCUGAAUAGGGCGAAGCCAGAGGAAACUCUGGUGGAGGCUCGCAGCGGUUCUGACGUGCAAAUCGAUCGUCGAAUUUGGGUAUAGGGGCGAAAGACUAAUCGAACCAUCUGGUAGCUGGUUCCU